AACGAACGCUGGCGGCAGGCCUAACACAUGCAAGUCGAACGCACCGCAAGGUGAGUGGCGCACGGGUGAGUAACACGUGGGAAUGUACCCUUUGGUUCGGAAUAACGUUUGGAAACGAACGCUAAUACCGGAUGAGCCCUACGGGGGAAAGAUUUAUCGCCAAAGGAGCAGCCCGCGUCUGAUUAGCUAGUUGGUGGGGUAAAGGCCUACCAAGGCGACGAUCAGUAGCUGGUCUGAGAGGAUGAUCAGCCACACUGGGACUGAGACACGGCACAGAUUCCUACGGGAGGCAGCAGUGGGGAAUAUUGGACAAUGGGCGGAGGCCUGAUCCAGCCAUGCCGCGUGAGUGAUGAAGGCCUUCGGGUUGUAAAGCUCUUUCGCACACGACGAUGAUGACGGUAGUGUGAGAAGAAGCCCCGGCUAACUUCGUGCCAGCAGCCGCCGUAACAC
rnacentral:rRNA from 1 species